CACGUAGUUAGCCGGUGCUUUUUCUGCAGGUACCGUCACUUUCGCUUCUUCCCUACUAAAAGAGGUUUACAACCCGAAGGCCGUCAUCCCUCACGCGGCGUUGCUGCAUCAGGCUUUCGCCCAUUGUGCAAUAUUCCCCACUGCCGCCUCCCGUAGGAGUCUGGGCCGUGUCUCAGUCCCAGUGUGGCCGGUCACCCUCUCAGGCCGGCUACCCGUCGUCGCCUUGGUGAGCCAUUACCUCACCAACAAGCUGAUAGGCCGCGAGUCCAUCCCCAACCAAAAAUCUUUCCACCACCAGACCAUGCGGCCAGUGAUCAUAUCCAGUAUUAGACGUCGUUUCCAACGCUUAUCCCAGAGUCAGGGGCAGGUUACUCACGUGUUACUCACCCGUUCGCCACUAAUCACAGGAGCAAGCUCCUGAUCAUCGUUCGACUUGCAUGUGUUAAGCACGCCGCCAGCGUCGUCCUCGUAGCCACGGAUCGAACUAC
rnacentral:rRNA from 1 species